UACGUAGGGUGCGAGCGUUAAUCGGAAUUACUGGGCGUAAAGGGCGCGUAGGCGGCUGUUCAAGUCGGGGGUGAAAUCCCGUGGCUCAACCACGGAAUGGCCUUCGAUACUGGACGGCUGGAGACCGGAAGAGGUGAGUGGAACUGCGAGUGUAGAGGUGAAAUUCGUAGAUAUUCGCAAGAACACCAGUGGCGAAGGCGGCUCACUGGUCCGGUUCUGACGCUGAGGCGCGAAAGCGUGGGGAGCAAACAGG
rnacentral:rRNA from 1 species